rnacentral:rRNA from 1 species
AGAUUGAACGCUGGCGGCAGGCCUAACACAUGCAAGUCGAGCGGUAGAGAGGUGCUUGCACCUCUUGAGAGCGGCGGACGGGUGAGUAAUGCCUAGGAAUCUGCCUAGUGGUGGGGGAUAACGUUCGGAAACGGACGCUAAUACCGCAUACGUCCUACGGGAGAAAGCGGGGGACCUUCGGGCCUCGCGCCAUUAGAUGAGCCUAGGGUCGGAUUAGCUAGUUGGUGAGGUAAUGGCUCACCAAGGCGACGAUCCGUAACUGGUCUGAGAGGAUGAUCAGUCACACGUGGAACUGAGACACGGUCCAGACUCCGUACGGGAGCAGCAGGUAGGGAAUAGUUGGACAAGUGGGACGAAAGCCUGGACUCCACGACCAGUCGCCGCGUGGUGUAGGAAGG